rnacentral:lncRNA from 1 species
CAGAAAAUAGUGCGGCCGAUGAUGUUUGAGGAAUCAAAGAGAGGUCGGCGGCAGACCCUUCCCCGUCUCUCCUCUAACACAGGUAGUUUAGAGAUAGAUCUCUCCUUUGACCACAAUGCAAACAGAACAAAAUCAAGGGUUUAAAUUAUGUAGGUCGGCGGCAGACCCUUCCCCGUCUCUCCUCUAACACAGGUAGUUUAGAGAUAGAUCUCUCCUUUGACCACAAUGCAAACAGAACAAAAUCAAGGGUUUAAAUUAUGUAGGUCGGCGGCAGACCCUUCCCCGUCUCUCCUCUAACACAGGUAGUUUAGAGAUA